rnacentral:rRNA from 1 species
CAGUCGCCGCGGGAAUACGUAGGGUGCGAGCGUUAAUCGGAUUUACUGGGCGUAAAGCGUGCGCAGGCGGCCCGUUAAGACAGGUGUGAAAUCCCUGGGCUCAACCUAGGAAUUGCGCUUGUGACUGGCGGGCUCGAGUACGGUAGAGGGGGGUGGAAUUCCUGGUGUAGCAGUGAAAUGCGUAGAGAUCAGGAGGAACACCGAUGGCGAAGGCAGCCCCCUGGGCCUGUACUGACGCUCAUGCACGAAAGCGUGGGGAGCAAACAGGAUUAGAUACCCGCGUAGUCCCUGUCUCUUAUAC